GAUGAACGCUAGCGACAGGCUUAACACAUGCAAGUCGAGGGGCAGCGGGGCGGUAGUUUGCUACCGCCGCCGGCGACCGGCGCACGGGUGAGUAACACGUAUGCAACCUGCCCCGCGGCGGGGGAUAACCGGGAGAAAUCCUGACUAAUACCCCGUACUCUUCCCCGAGGGCAUCCCCGGGGAAGGAAAGGCGGCGACGCCGCCGCGGGAUGGGCAUGCGGCGCAUUAGCCAGACGGCGGGGUAACGGCCCACCGUGGCGACGAUGCGUAGGGGUUCUGAGAGGAAGGUCCCCCACAUUGGUACUGAGACACGGACCAAACUCCUACGGGAGGCAGCAGUGAGGAAUAUUGGUCAAUGGGCGGAAGCCUGAACCAGCCAAGUCGCGUGAGGGAAGACGGCCCUAUGGGUUGUAAACCUCUUUUGCCGGGGAGCAAGGCCGGCCACGAGUGGCCGGAAGGAGAGUACCCGGAGAAAAAGCAUCGGCUAACUCCGUGCCAGCAGCCGCGGUAA
rnacentral:rRNA from 1 species